UGGCGGCGUGCUAACACAUGCAAGUCGAACGAGAACGGGCUUUAGUUUACUAAAGUUGUCAGCUAAGUGGCGCACGGGUGAGUAAUAUAUAGUUAACCUGCCUCAAAGAAGGGAAUAAUUGUUGGAAACGACUUGUAACGCCCUAUAUGCCUUUAUUACAUAAGUAAGCAAGGGAAACAUUUAUGGCUUUGAGAUGGGACUGUACGGUAUCAGAUAGUUGGUAAGGUAAUGGCUUACCAAGUCUAUGACGCCUAACUGGUUUGAGAGGAUGAUCAGUCACACUGGAACUGAGACACGGUCCAGACUCCUACGGGAGGCAGCAGUGGGGAAUAUUGCACAAUGGAGGAAACUCUGAUGCAGCAACGCCGCGUGGAGGAUGACACAUUUCGGUGCGUAAACUCCUUUUAUAUAAGAAGAUAAUGACGGUAUUAUAUGAAUAAGCACCGGCUAACUCCGUGCCAGCAGCCGCGGUAAUACGGGGGGUGCAAGCGUUACUCGGAAUCACUGGGCGUAAAGAGCAUGUAGGCUGGUAGAAAAGUUGGAAGUGAAAUCCUGUGGCUUAACCAUAGAACUGCUUCCAAAACUCUCUACCUAGAAUAUGGGAGAGGUAGAUGGAAUUUCUGGUGUAGGGGUAAAAUCCGUAGAGAUCAGAAGGAAUACCGAUUGCGAAGGCGAUCUACUGGAACAUUAUUGACGCUGAGAUGCGAAAGCGUGGGGAGCAAACAGGAUUAGAUACCCUGGUAGUCCACGCCCUAAACGAUGCACACUAGUUGUUGCCAUACUAGAUAUGGCAGUAAUGCAGUUAACACAGUAAGUGUGCCGCCUGGGGAGUACGGUCGCAAGAUUAAAACUCAAAGGAAUAGACGGGGACCCGCACAAGCGGUGGAGCAUGUGGUUUUAAUUCGACGAUACGCGAAGAACCUUACCUGGCCUUGACAUAGAUAGAACUUACUAAAGAUAGUUGGUGCUA
rnacentral:rRNA from 1 species